GGGCCUGUGGCUUAGUUUGGAUAGAGCGGCUGGCUUCGGACCAAAGAAACCUGGAUGCAACCAGCAGGUCGA
rnacentral:tRNA from 1 species